GCGCCCGUAGCUCAAUUGGAUAGAGCAUUUGACUACGGAUCAAGAGGUUAGGGGUUCGACUCCUCUCGGGCGCGCCA
rnacentral:tRNA from 1 species